GGGGAUGACUGGAUUCGACAGGGGUGUAGGGUACGAAACUGCAGGCCGAGGUGCCUCGUCCUCGUUAAAAAGGGGAACAGCCAUAACUGGCAACAACAACUACGCUCUAGCUGCCUAGUUUAACCUAGCCCAGCUACGUUCGCCUGGUCCCUUCUCCGGUGGGACUGGUGCGAGCGUUGAAAUACCGGAGUGCUGUGUUAGUGCCCGCCGGGGCGCGACCACCUAAGACUAAGCCGGCUGGCUGCGUGGACCCCCGCUGGUUGGGUGCCGUGCAGUGAGAACUGAAAGCCAGAUAUGCCUGUAGGAUGUUUCGGUCCGAAGCUUCUGGACGGGGGUUCGAAUCCCCCCAUCUCCACCA
rnacentral:tmRNA from 1 species